CGUGUAAGUCGGAUUUAUCGUGUAAUAAUUAUAAUGCGUUCAGUAAAGGUACUUUUUUGUUUUUUUUUUUCUUUUCAAGAAUCAACCGAAAUCCGAGACGUGGAUAGAUAUUUAUACGGGUUGAAAACCCGUAGAUGUUAAGGUCCAUACAUGCACAGAUCCAACAGUCAAUACAGAAAUAACACGAAUGCAUAAUAUUAGUUAUAAUUUCC